GGGGGUGCGCCGGAGUUGGAGAGCCGGGGCAGACUGUAACUCUGUUGUUUUAUCGCUGAAUAGGUUCGAUUCCUAUCACCCCCA
rnacentral:tRNA from 1 species